rnacentral:rRNA from 1 species
UACGGGGGGGGCAAGCGUUGUUCGGAAUUACUGGGCGUAAAGGGCGCGUAGGCGGUUCGGUAAGUCCUGUGUGAAAUCCCUCGGCUCAACUGAGGAACUGCACGGGAGACUGCCGGGCUUGAGUUCGGGAGAGGGAAGCGGAAUUCCGGGUGUAGCGGUGAAAUGCGUAGAUAUCCGGAGGAACACCGGUGGCGAAGGCGGGUCUCUGGGCCGAUACUGACGCUGAGGAGCGAAAGCGUGGGGAGCGAACAGG